rnacentral:rRNA from 1 species
UACGAAGGGGGGCUAGCGUUGUUCGGAUUUACUGGGCGUAAAGCGCACGUAGGCGGAUCGAUCAGUCAGGGGUGAAAUCCCAAAGCUCAACUCUGGAACUGCCUUUGAUACUGUCGAUCUGGAGUAUGGAAGAGGUGAGUGGAAUUCCGAGUGUAGAGGUGAAAUUCGUAGAUAUUCGGAGGAACACCAGUGGCGAAGGCGGCUCACUGGUCCAUUACUGACGCUGAGGUGCGAAAGCGUGGGGAGCAAACAGG